rnacentral:rRNA from 1 species
AGUGAACGCUGGCGGUAGGCCUAACACAUGCAAGUCGAACGGCAGCACAGUAAGAGCUUGCUCUUACGGGUGGCGAGUGGCGGACGGGUGAGGAAUACAUCGGAAUCUACUUUUUCGUGGGGGAUAACGUAGGGAAACUUACGCUAAUACCGCAUACGACCUACGGGUGAAAGCAGGGGAUCUUCGGACCUUGCGCGAUUGAAUGAGCCGAUGUCGGAUUAGCUAGUUGGCGGGGUAAAGGCCCACCAAGGCGACGAUCCGUAGCUGGUCUGAGAGGAUGGUCGGCCGCACUGGAACUGAGACACGGUCCAGACUCCUACGGGAGGCAGCAGUGGGGUAUAUUGGACAAUGGGCGCAAGCCUGAUCCAGCCAUACCGCGUGGGUGAAGAAGGCCUUCGGGUUGUAAAGCCCUUUUGUUGGGAAAGAAAAGCAGCAGGUUAAUACCCCGCUGUUCUGACGGUACCCAAAGAAUAAGCACCGGCUAACUUCGUG